UGUAGUGGAGCUUGUAUUUAAGCAAUUCAAUUACAUUGAAUAGAACUUUAAUUAGUGCUAUAA
rnacentral:tRNA from 1 species